rnacentral:rRNA from 1 species
UAGGGAAUCUUCCGCAAUGGGCGAAAGCCUGACGGAGCAACGCCGCGUGAGUGAUGAAGGUCUUCGGAUCGCAAAACUCUGUUAUUAGGGAAGAACAAAUGUGUAAGUAACUAUGCACGUCUUGACGGUACCUAAUCAGAAAGCCACGGCUAACUACGUGCCAGCAGCCGCGGUAAUACGUAGGUGGCAAGCGUUAUCCGGAAUUAUUGGGCGUAAAGCGCGCGUAGGCGGUUUUUUAAGUCUGAUGUGAAAGCCCACGGCUCAACCGUGGAGGGUCAUUGGAAACUGGAAAACUUGGGUGCAGAAGAGGAAAGUGGAAUUCCAUGUGUAGCGGUGAAAUGCGCAGAAAUAUGGAGGAACACCAGUGGCGAAGGCGACUUUCUGGUCUGUAACUGACGCUGAUGUGCGAAAGCGUGGGAAUCAAACAGG